UGAAAGAAAAAAAAAAAAGAAGAAAAUGACUGAAUAUCUGAUCCAAGAUGGCUUUUUGUUAUUAUUAUGUUUAAUAUAUGAUGCUAUUCUGCAUAUUUGUUCAUGCAUACCUUCUCCU
rnacentral:ribozyme from 1 species